ACUGCAAGGAAAUAAUUCUCACCCACACAGACUGGGUUAAAGCCUAACCUCAUAGGUUAUUUCCUGGCCUCCCUUCUGUGACCUAUGACCGAUGAUGACCUUUAGCUGGAGAAUGUGACAUUUUGUUCUCCUCUGGCUGACAUGUGAUGCCCUCAUUAUUCAAAGGGAAAUAUAUAUACACAUACAUAUAACCUGAAUUUGCUGAG
rnacentral:lncRNA from 14 species